UGAACGCUGGCGGCAGGCCUAACACAUGCAAGUCGAGCGGAUGAAGGGAGCUUGCUCCUGGAUUCAGCGGCGGACGGGUGAGUAAUGCCUAGGAAUCUGCCUGGUAGUGGGGGAUAACGUCCGGAAACGGGCGCUAAUACCGCAUACGUCCUGAGGGAGAAAGUGGGGGAUCUUCGGACCUCACGCUAUCAGAUGAGCCUAGGUCGGAUUAGCUAGUUGGUGGGGUAAAGGCCUACCAAGGCGACGAUCCGUAACUGGUCUGAGAGGAUGAUCAGUCACACUGGAACUGAGACACGGUCCAG
rnacentral:rRNA from 1 species